GACGAACGCUGGCGGCGUGCUUAACACAUGCAAGUCGAACGGAAAGGCCCUGCUUUUGUGGGGUGCUCGAGUGGCGAACGGGUGAGUAACACGUGAGUAACCUGCCCUUGACUUUGGGAUAACUUCAGGAAACUGGGGCUAAUACCGGAUAGGAGCUCCUGCUGCAUGGUGGGGGUUGGAAAGUUUCGGCGGUUGGGGAUGGGCUCGCGGCUUAUCAGCUUGUUGGUGGGGUAGUGGCUUACCAAGGCUUUGACGGGUAGCCGGCCUGAGAGGGUGACCGGCCACAUUGGGACUGAGAUACGGCCCAGACUCCUACGGGAGGCAGCAGUGGGGAAUAUUGCACAAUGGGCGGAAGCCUGAUGCAGCAACGCCGCGUGCGGGAUGACGGCCUUCGGGUUGUAAACCGCUUUCGCCUGUGACGAAGCGUGAGUGACGGUAAUGGGUAAAGAAGCACCGGCGAACUACGU
rnacentral:rRNA from 1 species